AUUGAACGCUGGCGGCAUGCUUUACACAUGCAAGUCGAACGGUAACAGGCCGCAAGGUGCUGACGAGUGGCGAACGGGUGAGUAAUGCAUCGGAACGUGCCCAGUCGUGGGGGAUAACGCAGCGAAAGCUGUGCUAAUACAGCAUACGAUCUAUGGAAGAAAGCGGGGGAACGUAAGGCCUCGCGCGAUUGGAGCGGCCGAUGUCAGAUUAGGGAGUUGGUGGGGUAAAGGCUCACCAAGCCAACGAUCUGUAGCUGGUCUGAGAGGACGACCAGCCACACUGGGACUGAGACACGGCCCAGACUCCUACGGGAGGCAGCAGUGGGGAAUUUUGGACAAUGGGCGCAAGCCUGAUCCAGCAAUGCCGCGUGCAGGAAGAAGGCCUUCGGGUUGUAAACUGCUUUUGUACGGAACGAAACGGCGAGCUCUAAUACAGUUUGCUAAUGACGGUACCGUAAGAAUAAGCACCGGCUAACUACGUGCCAGCAGCCGCCGCAG
rnacentral:rRNA from 1 species